AAAUAGUUUUUGCAUUUAAACAUAAUAGAAGCUGAAUUGUUAAACAAUGUUGCACAAGAUGGAAAGUAACUCUUGAUUCUCAUUAGUGAUAAACCAAAAAUAUUCUCUAAAUUAUGAAGCAAUUUAAAGCUGAAUUAAUGUUAAAUGAUUUGCAGAUUAAAUACAGUUUAAACUGGGAUUUUUAUGACUUUAAUAAACAUAAUUUCAGCAGCUAGAUGUCUACUGACAGUGCAGGAGGUUUUUGUACGGCCUCUCAAUGAGUUUGUAUCACUGUGGGUCACUUUUGGUGGAGGAACCAAACUCGUCGUUGACUUGGGUGUGUUGCGGCCCACCCUGACCGUCCUCCCCCCCUCCAAAGAGCAGCAGCAGCAGCAGAGCAGCGUCACACUGGUGUGUCUGGCCAGCGGGGGCUUCCCCUCCACCUGGACGCUGGGCUGGAAGGUGGGGGGCAGCAGCAGGUCCUCAGGGGUGUCUAGCAGCCUGGAGGUGCUGGGGGGGGACGGCCGCUACAGCUGGAGCAGCACCCUGAGCCUCCCUGCAGACCAGUGGAGGAAGGCGGGCUCAGUGAGCUGUGAGGCCAAUCAGAGUGGACAGAGUCCUGUCACUCAAACCCUGGAGCCUGACCGCUGCUCAGAGUAGAGCUGCAGCUUCAUGGCUGGAAACCAUCAUGUUGUCGUGUUUUAUUCACAAACAUUACUUUUCACCUUUCAUUCGUCUUCCUUAUGUUCUCUCAUGUAACUUGGAGUAAAUGGAUUGUUUCAAUAAAAGUGCAGAUUUAUGUCAA